rnacentral:tmRNA from 1 species
GGGGAUGUUUUGGAUUUGACUAAAAACUUUAGUAGCAUAAAUUGCAAGCAGAGGGAAUCUCUUAAAACUUCUUUAAUAAAUGCAAAAAAUAAUAACUUUACAAGUUCAAAUCUUGUAAUGGCUGCUUAAAUUAGCAGAGAGUUCUGUUGGAUUUUGCUUUGAGGUUCAGCUUAUACUCUUUCAAGACAUCAAAGCUUGCUUAAAAAUAUUUCAAGUUGAUUUUUAGGGACUUUUAAACUUGAGAGUAAUUUGGCGGUUUGCUAGUUUUCCCAAACCUUGUUACUUUUUUUUAAAACACUAGCUAAGCUUGUAGAUAUUUAUGAUAUUAUUUUUAGGACGCGGGUUCAAUUCCCGCCAUCUCCACCA